AGGAGAAGAAGGAGAGGUAGGAAGCGGAGAGAACAGAUCGUCUUCAUGCUUUUCUUUGAGGCCUUUGUUUUUCUCUUUGUCAUCUCUUUCCUUUGCUUCUUUUUCUUUUUCUUCUUUUUCUUUCUC
rnacentral:ribozyme from 12 species